GCCGUGAGGACUGUGGUCUGCGAUGGGCAGCUCGGGCAAGAAGGCAGGAUGUGUCCACGCUCACCCACGCCCACAUCCGGGUGUCAGGAAGCAGCUGCCCCCGUCCGGCAAGGCAGGUGGCCACCCCCCCCCCCACCAGCCGCACUGCCACCUGUGCUCCGUCCUCUCCCCCUGCCACUCGCCAGCACCCGCCGGGCAGUGUGGGACUCCACUCCGGUCCAGGACAGGGCCUCCAGGCCUAAGAGAGUGGCCCUGCCCUCGGGGCACCAGGCCAGGACGACGGGCGGUUCUGCCACUGCCCGCACGCGGGCCGCAGGAAGCAAAUGCGGGGCAAGCACCACGGUGGGCAGGUGGCAGGUGAGAACCCCAGUUGCGAAGUAGCAUGGGGCCAGGGGCUCCCCAGUAUGUUCUGACCCGGCCCCCAUCAGGCCAGAAUCACAGCCACACGUCCCCCUGAGGGGGGCCCUGCCCCUCAUCUCUCAGCCAUGAAGGCAAAUGACCGUCACACCAACGAGGUGAUCCAAGGAAGCGUGUUCCAGCCCCCGGCACACGGUCAGCACUGGCAAGUGUUCCUCGGGCACGAACUCCACCGAGAGAACGGGGGUGUCUGACCGUCUGCGUCAACACGCAGGGCCGGGCAGUUUCCCAGUACGUGGAAACCCUCCCGUGAAACUCCUAUGACGGCUUCACGGUUUCAAGAAAAAGGCAGGAACUUAGCACCCGCCCCCGCCCCUGCCCACCUGUCAGGACGGGACACUCUGGCCGGGAGGCCUGGCCACAAGGAGCCUCCCCUCACCCGCAGCGCAGGUGCCUGCCCUCUGCUUUGUGCCAGGACCUCUGCGGCACCCGUGCCCAUCAGCCCUUCCCACGGGCCACCCUCCGGCUCUGGGGUCAGCAGGACCCAGCCCAGUCUGUGGCCUCAGUCCAGGAGCAGGCCCUCGCCACCGCGGGCAAAAUGGACUCCUCACUCAGUCUGCACCCUAGGUGACCUGGAAUCGGUGACCCCGGGCACGCACAGUCACCCUGGCCGCCUCUCUGCCCUAGCACUGGGUAUCUGCCCGUCUGCUCGCCACUUGUCUCCCCACCGGAACACCGGCCCCACGGACAGGGCCUGGACUCCUCCUGUCCUGCACCACAUGCCCAGCACCCAGCAGGGCUCCCCACAGGAAGCACUGAAUAAAUAUGUACGAAGGACCCGUGGGGGGUGACCUUGGGGCACAAGGAAGAUCGUGUCCGUGCUGCAUCUAACCACCGAUACAACGGGGAUCUACUGGUACCUACCCAGGUUUUGGGGAGCAUUCAGAAAUCCCCGUGUGAAAACCCCUGUGAACCGUCAGGUCUGUGUGUGACGUGUACAAUCGCAAAACAGGCGGAAAGGCAGGGAGGGAACUUCGGCACACAUCGCACUUCUCCCCCCUCCAGCUUCAGCCAAGGGCUCUUGGACCCAGACUAAUAGUUCUCCAGCCCUCCAGCUGUCCUUCCAGGAAGGACAUCUGCCCCCAAUUAGAUGGAAACGCCAGUGGAAGAUGCCCAAGUCCCAAGGGACGCAGCUACGGAACACUCACUUGGUGCCGGCUGGGCACCAGGAUCACCCGUCCCGGCCUCUGAACGCACAGGCACCUGCCCCCUUCCCUGCCAGGACUCUCAGAACCAGGCCUUCAUCUCUGACUCCACCUGCCUGUGCCAGCAGAACUUGGCCUUGCAGGGAGGGCGGGGCAGCUUCAGGCUGCACCCUCCUCCUCCGUGCAGGACGCGUGCCCCGGGCCCAGAGAAAGAGCCAAGACGCGGACCCUGCGUCCUCCUGAUGGAGCCGCUGGCCCCUGUUCUUUGUGAGCAGCCCGUCUAGUCCCACGAAGCUGUCCUCUGCACACGUGGGUCCCGUCAGGGCACCGUGCCCACAUCUGCUCUGCUUCCUCUCCAUGACCUCGGCCCCCCUGCGUCACCCAGCCCUGGACCAGGCUCUCCCCUGCAUCCCAGAGUCACUCUUCAGCCUUAUGUCACGUGGGUGUCCUCUCCAUCCCCAGCACCCUGCCGAGUCUCUUCCCAGGCUCCCUGCAGCAGCCUGCUGGGCCAUCCCGCCAACCCUCCGGCCUCCCUGGGCCACUGAGUGUGAGUGGCCGUCCUGUCACUCCCCACCCUCCUCCACUCCGGGGGCCUCUGCCUGGCACCAGAGGUGGUGCACAGAUUGGCCACAGCUGACUCAUCCCCCGCUGCCUCCAGGCCGACCCUGCCUGCGUUCUGCCAUCAACCGUGUUUGCCGCUCCCUUAGCCCACCUGGUCCGGCCCGGCCGGCCUCCGGAGUCUGCUGAUGGCUCAUACACUAACUCAGAAUACAACCAAUUCCACGCGUCUUUUGAGGAGGGCAGGGAGCUUCCCAAAGGUGGGGGUCUCUACCCGAUGGGCCCCGGCUGUGCGGCACCCGGAAUACCAGCGGCAGCCACCGCACGUGGCACGCACAAAAUGCAUACCUGCCGGCCGGGGGAGGGCCGCAGGGUCAGAGCACUGCGCAAGGGCGACACGCCGGGAAGCGGGAGGUCUGUUGAGCCUGCUGCCCCGUGUGAGCCUUCUGCGUCCCUCACGGCCGCGAGACCCAAAGCAAAGCCACCCGGUGACGCGACAGACCAAGCCUGUCCGUGCACGUGCUCAGCACGGGCUUCUCCGGCUUUGAUUUCGGCAACACCGGCCCCUGGAAAUGGCUUUCUGGAACAAGGCCGCGUCGCAUCAGCAGAGCAGGCAUUUCCACCAGCGUGGAGAGCUGGCCAAGCAGGCACCGGAGGGACAAGGACAGGCACGGGCGGGAGGUGGGGCGUGCCCAGCUCUGCUCCCCUUCCCUCUGGGCCUCUGCGCACGCCGCCGCCCCCCCCCCCACCCCCAGCGGAGGUCCGUUCCCAGAAGCUGCCUUGUUUACAGCUCCACCCUGCCUUCUCCCCCUGCCCCUCUGCCUCCCUCCCCUGCUCCCUUCCACAGGGGCCCCAUCGCAGGCCACCCGAGGCCAGAGCAGGGCUGUGUCCCUCGGAGAAGGCACAGGGUAGGGGGUGGAGGG